rnacentral:rRNA from 1 species
CGCGGAUCAGCACGCCGCGGUGAAUACGUUCCCGGGCCUGUACACACCGCCCGUCACACCAUGGAAGUCUGCAAUGCCCGAAGCCGGUGGCCUAACCACUUAUGUGGAAGGAGCCGUCUAAGGCAGGGCAGAUGACUGGGGUGAAGUCGUAACAAGGUAUC